rnacentral:lncRNA from 1 species
GUUAAUUUGUUAUCCUAAAACAAUAUAUACCAUGUAAAUCCAUCAAUUCCUCUAUCAGCUGAUGUAAUGCUUUAAAAGUAUUAUAUAUGGACAAGCAAAGGGCGAACUGUGCUAAUUAGACUUGGUUGAGAAGAGACCAGUAAUACCUCAUUCAUCAGCCAGGUAUGACAUGAUUCGAGUAAAACACAUCGUUGUGAUCAUAGCCUAUCGUGGAUGCCGCAACUAAUUGCCUUACUCAAGUCCUUUUCUUCACAGAGGAUGAUUUCCACGAGUGUUUGUACCCACAUCCGGGAACACACCAACCUCGCUUCUACCCUAUACGUUCUCGGAUACUCCUCUUUACAUCUUUAGCCUUGUAGUGGCCACCUUGGCUUAUCCCAC